rnacentral:rRNA from 1 species
CAGUCGCCGCGGUAACACGAAGGGGGCUAGCGUUGUUCGGAUUUACUGGGCGUAAAGGGCGCGUAGGCGGGCGAAUAAGUCAGGGGUGAAAUCCCAAGGCUCAACCUUGGAACUGCCUUUGAUACUGUUUGUCUUGAGUUCGAGAGAGGUAAGUGGAACUGCGAGUGUAGAGGUGAAAUUCGUAGAUAUUCGCAAGAACACCAGUGGCGAAGGCGGCUUACUGGCUCGAAACUGACGCUGAGGCGCGAAAGCGUGGGGAGCAAACAGGAUUAGAUACCCGCGUAGUCCCUGUCUCUUAUAC